rnacentral:rRNA from 1 species
GAUGAACGCUAGCGGCGUGCCUUAUGCAUGCAAGUCGAACGGUCUUAAGCAAUUAAGAUAGUGGCGAACGGGUGAGUAACGCGUAAGUAACCUACCUCUAAGUGGGGGAUAGCUUCGGGAAACUGAAGGUAAUACCGCAUGUGGUGGACCGACAUAUGUUGGUUCACUAAAGCCGUAAGGCGCUUGGUGAGGGGCUUGCGUCCGAUUAGCUAGUUGGUGGGGUAAUGGCCUACCAAGGCUUCGAUCGGUAGCUGGUCUGAGAGGAUGAUCAGCCACACUGGGACUGAGACACGGCCCAGACUCCUACGGGAGGCAGCAGCAAGGAAUCUUGGGCAAUGGGCAAAAGCCUGACCCAGCAACGCCGCGUGAGGGAUGAAGGCUUUCGGGUUAUAAACCUCUUUUCAUAGGGAAGAAUAAUGACGGUACCUGUGGAAUAAGCUCGG